GUAAGCAUCUGUGAAUGGCUCAUUUGUUGAAAUUCUACAAUAUUGUUAAAAGAUGCCUAUGCCAAGCUAAUGAUAGUCAUACUGUUUCUCAAGUAAGAAAUCAGGAAUAAUCGGGAUAGAAUCCGUUGAAAAGACAUAUCGUUCCUCUUCUCGCUGCUCUUUGUUAAUAAUAGAGAGUGCAACUUGAUGUACUGAUCCCUAGACGAGCAGUUAGAAAAAGAAUUGGAUGACUAAGAAUACCGUCUGAAGCUCCUCGAUACAAGAUUGCACUACUUCUUCAAUAUAUUCGCACAAGAUCGGAUGCCUUGAUUGCCAGACAAUUGUAUUGUAUUUUCGAGCUUUUAUAAAAAGGUCUAAUAUGAGAGUUAAAUCAAAAGCUAAAAAAUCGAAUACCUUGAGGAUAGAGUCUUCUAGCGUAAAGAAUACAAUGAAUGCUUACAAGCACUGAAUUGUAAGCAAAAAUGGAAGUUCAAAGUUGCACACAUACAAAAUUCUCCAAAUAUAUCAAUACAUUCUAAUAGUUUAGCAAGCAAAAGACCCAAAUAAUCAUACUAAUAACAUACUUUUCACAG